rnacentral:rRNA from 1 species
CCUACGGGAGGCAGCAGAGGAAGGCGGAAUUCCCGGUGUAGCGGUGAUAUGCGUAGAUAUCGGGAGGAACACCCGUGGCGAAGGCGGCCUUCUGGGCUGUGCCUGACGCUGAGGCGCGAAAGCGUGGGGAGCGAAGUGGAUUAGAUACCCACGUAGUCCACGCUGUAAACGGUGGAUACUAGGUAUAGGGGGUAUCGACCCUCUCUGUGCCGAAGCUAACGCUUUAAGUAUCCCGCCUGGGAACUACGGCCGCAAGGCUAAAACUCAAAGGAAUUGACGG